GCUUUGGUGGCCCAGUGGUUAGAGCGUCCGCCUCGGAUGCGGAAGGUCGUGGGUUCGAAUCAUCGGUCGAGUCA